GACGAACGCUGGCGGCGUGCUUAACAUAUGCAAGUCGAACGGAAAGGCCCUGCUUUUGUGGGGUGCUCGAGUGGCGAACGGGUGAGUAACACGUGAGUAACCUGCCCUUGACUUUGGGAUAACUUCAGGAAACUGGGGCUAAUACCGGAUAGGAGCUCCUGCUGCAUGGUGGGGGUUGGAAAGUUUCGGCGGUUGGGGAUGGACUCGCGGCUUAUCAGCUUGUUGGUGGGGUAGUGGCUUACCAAGGCUUUGACGGGUAGCCGGCCUGAGAGGGUGACCGGCCACAUUGGGACUGAGAUACGGCCCAGACUCCUACGGGAGGCAGCAGUGGGGAAUAUUGCACAAUGGGCGGAAGCCUGAUGCAGCAACGCCGCGUGCGGGAUGACGGCCUUCGGGUUGUAAACCGCUUUCGCCUGUGACGAAGCGUGAGUGACGGUAAUGGGUAAAGAAGCACCAGCUAACUACGU
rnacentral:rRNA from 1 species